rnacentral:rRNA from 1 species
AUUGAACGCUGGCGGCAGGCUUAACACAUGCAAGUCGAGCGGGGUGAUGGUGCUUGCACUAUCACUUAGCGGCGGACGGGUGAGUAAUGCUUAGGAAUCUGCCUAUUAGUGGGGGACAACAUCUCGAAAGGGAUGCUAAUACCGCAUACGUCCUCCGGGAGAAAGCCGGGUAUCACUUGUGACCUUGCGCUAAUAAAUGAGCCUCAGUCGGAUUAGCUAGUUGGUGGGGUAAAGUCCUACCAAGGCGACGAUCUGUAGCGGGUCUGAGAGUAUGAUCCGCCACACUGGGACUGAGACACGGCCCAGACUCCUACGGGAGGCAGCAGUGGGGAAUAUUGGACAAUGGGGGGAACCCUGAUACAGCCAUGCCGCGUGUGUGAAGAAGGCCUUAUGGUUGUAAAGCACUUUAAGCGAGGAGGAGGCUCUUUUGGUUAAUACCCAAGAUGAGUGGACGUUACUCUCAGAAUAAGCACCGGCUAACUCUGUGCCAGCAGCCGCCGUAACAC